UCGUUUAUUGUGUGUGUGGGGAUCGAGCAUGUGUGUCUCGGGCACGUGUGUGGUUUGAGGUUUUCUUCUGUAGGAUGCUCUAGUCAAGGAAACGGGCUGCUGAUAAAAGUAGAAGCCUGGACAGAAAUGACUGCUUGAUGUGCUAAUCGCCUGAGAAGAUGCAGCUUCCUUUGAACUCACCAGAAAGAGAAGAACCAGGGAGUUAGCUGUGACCAAAUGCCUGGACACACGUAUUGCUGUAUCUGCUGCCGUUGCCCAUGAUGGGUGUCAGCACGCUGAUUGGGAACGCUGGGGAGGCAGCGGGGAAGCCAAAGAGACGAAGCAAUUUAGGACUCAAUCCAAGGGUUAUCAAAGUCAUUGGGAACCAUCACAUGGGCUCCCACAGCCUUCACAAAGACACAGCCCUUUCACUGUAACCACAUCUGAGCAACUGCAACAGGCGUUACUUAAUAAGCUUGAGCAGAGAAACAGAAGAAGAAAUUUUCUUUGAAAGUAUGUGCCAAUCUCCCAAAUACUAUUUCCAGCAAAAAGGCCACUUAACAGUUAACUACCACUGCAGACAGAAGAGGAAAAUGAAGUCUUCCUUACCCCUCAGUGCCACAAUGCAAUGAGUGCUGGUAAAUGGCUCUGAAAUAGGGGCUCCGGCUUGCUCCAUGGCUUGCUCCUUUUAUAAAUAACGGUUACAGUUUGAUAAACUUUGAAUCGAUGUUGUAAGCACGUUCCAGACAGGGAUAGCUGUGUCUUAGAGAUGGUUGCAAGUCACCCACAAGAAAAGUGGUAGAGUUUUUUUUAAAAGGUGGCUGCAAGCAAUAUUUUAGUAAUGAAAACUUAUU